rfam:Schistosoma haematobium scaffold1339_1, whole genome shotgun sequence.
AUCCAGCUGAUGAGUCCUAAACAGAACGAAUUGCAUGUUCUGGAU